GGGCAGCACAGGUAGCAAUACCGGGUGGCGACCGGCGCACGGGUGAGUAACGCGUAUGCAACUUACCUAUCAGAGGGGGAUAACCCGGCGAAAGUCGGACUAAUACCGCAUGAAGCAGGGGCCCCGCAUGGGGAUAUUUGCUAAAGAUUCAUCGCUGAUAGAUAGGCAUGCGUUCCAUUAGGCAGUUGGCGGGGUAACGGCCCACCAAACCGACGAUGGAUAGGGGUUCUGAGAGGAAGGUCCCCCACAUUGGUACUGAGACACGGACCAAACUCCUACGGGAGGCAGCAGUGAGGAAUAUUGGUCAAUGGCCGAGAGGCUGAACCAGCCAAGUCGCGUGAGGGAUGAAGGUUCUAUGGAUCGUAAACCUCUUUUAUAAGGGAAUAAAGUGCGGGACGUGUCCCGUUUUGUAUGUACCUUAUGAAUAAGGAUCGGCUAACUCCGUGCCAGCAGCCGCGGUAAUACGGAGGAUCCGAGCGUUAUCCGGAUUUAUUGGGUUUAAAGGGUGCGUAGGCGGCCUUUUAAGUCAGCGGUGAAAGUCUGUGGCUCAACCAUAGAAUUGCCGUUGAAACUGGGGGGCUUGAGUAUGUUUGAGGCAGGCGGAAUGCGUGGUGUAGCGGUGAAAUGCAUAGAUAUCACGCAGAACCCCGAUUGCGAAGGCAGCCUGCCAAGCCAUUACUGACGCUGAUGCACGAAAGCGUGGGGAUCAAACAGGAUUAGAUACCCUGGUAGUCCACGCAGUAAACGAUGAUCACUAGCUGUUUGCGAUACACUGUAAGCGGCACAGCGAAAGCGUUAAGUGAUCCACCUGGGGGAGUACGCCGGCAACGGUGAAACUCAAAGGAAUUGACGGGGGCCCGCACAAGCGGAGGAACAUGUGGUUUAAUUCGAUGAUACGCGAGGAACCUUACCCGGGUUUGAACGCGUUCGGACCGAGGUGGAAACACCUUUUCUAGCAA
rnacentral:rRNA from 1 species